GGGUUGUGAGGUUAAGCGACUAAGCGUACACGGUGGAUGCCCUGGCAGUCAGAGGCGAUGAAGGACGUGCUAAUCUGCGAAAAGCGUCGGUAAGGUGAUAUGAACCGUUAUAACCGGCGAUGUCCGAAUGGGGAAACCACCGGGGGAACUGAAACAUCUAAGUACCCCGAGGAAAAGAAAUCAACCGAGAUUCCCCCAGUAGCGGCGAGCGAACGGGGAGCAGCCCAGAGUCUGAAUCAGCUUGUGUGUUAGUGGAACGGUCUGGAAAGUCCGACGGUACAGGGUGAUAGUCCCGUACACCAAAAUGCACAGGYUGUGAACUCGAAGAGUAGGGCGGGACACGUGGUAUCCUGUCUGAAUAUGGGGGGACCAUCCUCCAAGGCUAAAUACUCCUGACUGACCGAUAGUGAACCAGUACCGUGAGGGAAAGGCGAAAAGAACCCCGGCGAGGGGAGUGAAAAAGAACCUGAAACCGUGUACGUACAAGCAGUGGGAGCACCUUUAUGGUGUGACUGCGUACCUUUUGUAUAAUGGGUCAGCGACUUAUAUUCUGUAGCAAGGUUAACCGUAUAGGGGAGCCGCAGGGAAACCGAGUCUUAACUGGGCGUUAAGUUGCAGGGUAUAGACCCGAAACCCGGUGAUCUAGCCAUGGGCAGGUUGAAGGUUGGGUAACACUAACUGGAGGACCGAACCGACUAAUGUUGAAAAAUUAGCGGAUGACUUGUGGCUGGGGGUGAAAGGCCAAUCAAACCGGGAGAUAGCUGGUUCUCCCCGAAAGCUAUUUAGGUAGCGCCUCGUGAAYUCAUCUUCGGGGGUAGAGCACUGUUUCGGCUAGGGGGUCAUCCCGACUUACCAACCCGAUGCAAACUACGAAUACCGAAGAAUGUUAUCACGGGAGACACACGGCGGGUGCUAACGUCCGUCGUGAAGAGGGAAACAACCCAGACCGCCAGCUAAGGUCCCAAAGUCAUGGUUAAGUGGGAAACGAUGUGGGAAGGCACAGACAGCCAGGAUGUUGGCUUAGAAGCAGCCAUCAUUUAAAGAAAGCGUAAUAGCUCACUGGUCGAGUCGGCCUGCGCGGAAGAUGUAACGGGGCUAAACCAUGCACCGAAGCUGCGGCAGCGACACUAUGUGUUGUUGGGUAGGGGAGCGUUCUGUAAGCCUGCGAAGGUGACCUGUGAGGGUUGCUGGAGGUAUCAGAAGUGCGAAUGCUGACAUAAGUAACGAUAAAGCGGGUGAAAAGCCCGCUCGCCGGAAGACCAAGGGUUCCUGUCCAACGUUAAUCGGGGCAGGGUGAGUCGACCCCUAAGGCGAGGCCGAAAGGCGUAGUCGAUGGGAAACAGGUUAAUAUUCCUGUACUUGGUGUUACUGCGAAGGGGGGACGGAGAAGGCUAUGUUAGCCGGGCGACGGUUGUCCCGGUUUAAGCAUGUAGGCUGRUUAUCCAGGCAAAUCCGGAUAAUCAAGGCUGAGGUGUGAUGACGAGGCACUACGGUGCUGAAGUAACAAAUGCCCUGCUUCCAGGAAAAGCCUCUAAGCAUCAGGUAACAUCAAAUCGUACCCCAAACCGACACAGGUGGUCAGGUAGAGAAUACCAAGGCGCUUGAGAGAACUCGGGUGAAGGAACUAGGCAAAAUGGUGCCGUAACUUCGGGAGAAGGCACGCUGGUGUGUAGGUGAAGYCCCUGCGGRUGGAGCUGAGACCAGUCGAAGAUACCAGCUGGCUGCAACUGUUUAUUAAAAACACAGCACUGUGCAAACACGAAAGUGGACGUAUACGGUGUGACGCCUGCCCGGUGCCGGAAGGUUAAUUGAUGGGGUUAUCCGUAAGGAGAAGCUCUUGAUCGAAGCCCCGGUAAACGGCGGCCGUAACUAUAACGGUCCUAAGGUAGCGAAAUUCCUUGUCGGGUAAGUUCCGACCUGCACGAAUGGCGUAAUGAUGGCCAGGCUGUCUCCACCCGAGACUCAGUGAAAUUGAACUCGCUGUGAAGAUGCAGUGUACCCGCGGCAAGACGGAAAGACCCCGUGAACCUUUACUAUAGCUUGACACUGAACAUUGAGCCUUGAUGUGUAGGAUAGGUGGGAGGCUUUGAAGCGUGGACGCCAGUCUGCGUGGAGCCAACCUUGAAAUACCACCCUUUAAUGUUUGAUGUUCUAACGUUGGCCCCURAYCGGGGUUGCGGACAGUGUCUGGUGGGUAGUUUGACUGGGGCGGUCUCCUCCCAAAGCGUAACGGAGGAGCACGAAGGUUAGCUAAUCCUGGUCGGACAUCAGGAGGUUAGUGCAAUGGCAUAAGCUAGCUUGACUGCGAGCGUGACGGCGCGAGCAGGUGCGAAAGCAGGUCAUAGUGAUCCGGUGGUUCUGAAUGGAAGGGCCAUCGCUCAACGGAUAAAAGGUACUCCGGGGAUAACAGGCUGAUACCGCCCAAGAGUUCAUAUCGACGGCGGUGUUUGGCACCUCGAUGUCGGCUCAUCACAUCCUGGGGCUGAAGUAGGUCCCAAGGGUAUGGCUGUUCGCCAUUUAAAGUGGUACGCGAGCUGGGUUUAGAACGUCGUGAGACAGUUCGGUCCCUAUCUGCCGUGGGCGCUGGAGAAUUGAGGGGGGCUGCUCCUAGUACGAGAGGACCGGAGUGGACGCAUCACUGGUGUUCGGGUUGUCAUGCCAAUGGCACUGCCCGGUAGCUAAAUGCGGAAGAGAUAAGUGCUGAAAGCAUCUAAGCACGAAACUUGCCCCGAGAUGAGUUCUCCCUGAGACUACG
rnacentral:rRNA from 1 species